GAGAAAGUCUUGCUCUGAAAGAACUGUGCUUAGUGACAGUCUGUUUCUCUCUGUGCAAACUCAUCUCCUAGCAGCCCAGUAACACAGUGAGGGGACUAACAGAACUGCAGUAAGUCGAUGAGGUGUGCGUUAAAUUGCUGCAGGAAUCUUUCCAUUAUUUGACUUGUUCUCUGAUUUAUGUUGGCUCAGGCUAUUCUUGGGUGCUCCUAGGACCUUGGUCUGUCUUCUCCAAAGCAGAUUGUUUUGGUGAUAAUUUAGAAGCCUGAGGAGCCAGCCUGAUCUCAGGGCAGCACUGGGUGCUCUGGGGUUGGGGGCGUCUACAGAGGUUGGUCCAGUGGAUGAAUGGAUGCAUGAAUUCAUUCAGAUGAACUGACUUCAAAUAUUGAAUGACUCUGGCUCCAACAAUGAUUGACUUGGUGAUCCUUGAAAAUCUUUCAAAAUCUCGAUUUUUCAAUGACUGUGUGAGCCUUCCUGAGCAAGGAAGGCAGAGGCAGAAGAGAAGGCCCGGGAAGAGAACCUAAGGUCCAGGAGCCUCUUAACGUGGCGAGACUUACCACCAGCCCCAACACAUUGUUGACUCAGCACACAGCAACCCAGUCUAGAGGUAAGUGUAGGCUUAUUUAGAGCAGAUCCAGCUUUUUACUUCCUACUUUGCUCCCUUCCUUCUUUCCUUCCUUCUUUCUUUUCCUGGGGUGGUUUGGGGAAGGGGGUUGGGGGGGGGGAUAGAGCCAUCCAGGUACGUGAAGUAGUCUGCCAGUCAGCUAAAUGCU
ensembl:lncRNA